rnacentral:rRNA from 1 species
UACGAAGGGGGCUAGCGUUGCUCGGAAUCACUGGGCGUAAAGGGCGCGUAGGCGGCGUUUUAAGUCGGGGGUGAAAGCCUGUGGCUCAACCACAGAAUGGCCUUCGAUACUGGGACGCUUGAGUAUGGUAGAGGUUGGUGGAACUGCGAGUGUAGAGGUGAAAUUCGUAGAUAUUCGCAAGAACACCGGUGGCGAAGGCGGCCAACUGGACCAUUACUGACGCCGAGGCGCGAAAGCGUGGGGAGCAAACAGG